rnacentral:rRNA from 1 species
GACGGAAGGUGCAAGCGUUGCUCGGAAUCACUGGGCGUAAAGGGUGCGUAGGCGGCUCGUCGCGUCGACCGUGAAAACCCGCGGCUUAACUGCGGGCUUGCGGUUGAUACGGGCGGGCUAGAGUUCGGUAGGGGAGACUGGAAUUCCUGGUGUAGCGGUGAAAUGCGCAGAUAUCAGGAGGAACACCGGUGGCGAAGGCGGGUCUCUGGGCCGAUACUGACGCUGAGGAGCGAAAGCGUGGGGAGCGAACAGG